AACAGCCUCCCCCAUGAUCUACCACAGGUUUUACGCUCCAAUUCUGCUCUUGAGUCGCAACAGUGAGGACACUGUUGGAUUUAAGUUUAGGGGAGUAUUCUACUAUCUCUAUUUACUUUUAAUUUCUAGUCAUUUGAAUUUUUAUUUCCUUUCGCAUAAUAAAAAAAUUGAAUUUAUAGUAUAUUCUUUGGUUUUUCUAAAUUUUUCCUUUUCUUGAGCCAAAUUAAAAUUUUUUCCAAAGACUUAGGAUAAUAGCUCACUUAGAAAGUAUAUAGGUUAAGAAAAGAUGAGAGGCUAAGUUAAGGAAAUUAGGGAAUUUUACAACAAAAUCGGUAUUUUUCCAACACCCAGAAGUCUCCCUAGUAUAGAUAUCAAUUUGAAUAACCAUUGUGCCAAAAUCUCCUGAUUUAAAUUUGUGGAAUCCUUUAGUAGUUUAUCUAUCCAGUCGGACACCAUCUAUAAAGUCACACAUUAAGUAGGUUUGUCGAUGAAUAUAAGCGAAUC
rnacentral:lncRNA from 1 species